GUGCUUGCUUCGGCAGCACACAUACUAGAAAUUGGAACAAUGCAGAGAAGAUUAGCAUGGCCCCUGCGCAAGGAGGACACACAAAUUCGUGAAGCGUUCCUUAUUUUU
rnacentral:snRNA from 1 species